UACGUAGGGGGCGAGCGUUGUCCGGAGUUACUGGGCGUAAAGGGCACGCAGGCGGUGCGGCGCGUUUCGCGUGACAGCGGAGGGCUUAACUCUCCGAGGAUGCGAAAGACGGCGGCACUUGAGGGCCAGAGAGGGACACGGAAUUCCGGGUGGAGUGGUGAAAUGCGUAGAGAUCCGGAGGAACACCGAAGGCGAAGGCAGUGUCCUGGCUGGUGACUGACGCUGAGGAGCGAAAGUGUGGGGAGCGAACAGG
rnacentral:rRNA from 1 species